rnacentral:rRNA from 1 species
AUUGAACGCUGGCGGCAGGCUUAACACAUGCAAGUCGAGCGAGCGGCGGACGGGUGAGUAAUGUAUGGGCAACUGCGUGAUGGAGGGGGAUAACUACCGGAAACGGUAGCUAAUACCGCAUACCAUCAGAUAUUGCCAGAUGGUAUUAGCUAGUAGGUGGGGUAAUGGCUCACCUCGGCGACGAUCCCUAGCUGGUCUGAGGGGAUGACCAGCCACACUGGAACGGAGUAACGGUCCAGACGCCUACGGGAGGCAGCAGUGGGGAAUAUUGCACAAUGGGCUCAAGCCUGAUGCAGCCAUGCCGCGUGGGUGAAGAAGGCCUUCGGGUUGUAAAGCACUGUCAUCGAGGAGGCGUUACUAGCAGAAGAAGCACCGGCUAACUCCGUGCCAGCAGCCGCGGUAAUUC